rnacentral:rRNA from 1 species
CACAAGCGGUGGAGUAUGUGGUUAAUUCGAUGCAACGCGAAGAACCUUACCUGGUCUUGACAUCCCGGAGACCCUUAGGAAACUAGGGGUGCUUCCAUCUGGAAGAAUCUGGAGACAGGUGCUGCAUGGCUGUCGUCAGCUCGUGUCGUGAGAUGUUGGGUUAAGUCCCGCAACGAGCGCAACCCUUGCCUUUAGUUGCCAGCAGUUCGGCUGGGCACUCUAAAGGGACUGCCGGUGUUAAACCGGAGGAAGGUGGGGAUGACGUCAAGUCCUCAUGGCCUUUAUGACCAGGGCUACACACGUACUACAAUGGCCGAUACAAAGGGCAGCGACACUGCGAGGUGAAGCCAAUCCCGUAAAAUCGGUCUCAGUCCGGAUUGGAGUCUGCAACUCGACUCCAUGAAGUUGGAAUCGCUAGUAAUCGUGGAUCAGCAUGCUACGGUGAAUACGUUCCCGGGCCUU